rnacentral:rRNA from 1 species
AUUGAACGCUGGCGGCAGGCCUAACACAUGCAAGUCGAGCGGAUGAAGGGAGCUUGCUCCUGGAUUCAGCGGCGGACGGGUGAGUAAUGCCUAGGAAUCUGCCUGGUAGUGGGGGAUAACGUCCGGAAACGGGUGCUAAUACCGCAUCCGUCCUGAGGGAGAAAGUGGGGGACCUUCGGACCUCACGCUAUCAGAUGCGCCUAGGUCGGAUUAGCUAGUUGGUGGGGUAAAGGCCUACCAAGGCGACGAUCCGUAACUGGUCUGAGAGGAUGAUCAGUCACACGGGAACUGAGACACGGUCCAGACUCCUACGGGAGGCGGCGGAGGGGAAUAUUGGACAAUGGGCGAAGGCCUGAUCCAGCCAUGCCGCGUGUGUAAAGAAGGUCUUCGGAUUGUAAAGCACUUUGAGUUGGGAGAAAGGGCAGUAAGUUAAUACCUUGCUGUUUUGACGUUACCAACAGAAUAAGCACCGGCUAACUUCGUG